rnacentral:rRNA from 1 species
UGGGGAAUAUUGCACAAUGGGCGCAAGCCUGAUGCAGCCAUGCCGCGUGUAUGAAGAAGGCCUUCGGGUUGUAAAGUACUUUCAGCGAGGAGGAAGGCGUUGUGGUUAAUAACCGCAACGAUUGACGUUACUCGCAGAAGAAGCACCGGCUAACUCCGUGCCAGCAGCCGCGGUAAUACGGAGGGUGCAAGCGUUAAUCGGAAUUACUGGGCGUAAAGCGCACGCAGGCGGUCUGUCAAGUCGGAUGUGAAAUCCCCGGGCUCAACCUGGGAACUGCAUCCGAAACUGGCAGGCUAGAGUCUUGUAGAGGGGGGUAGAAUUCCAGGUGUAGCGGUGAAAUGCGUAGAGAUCUGGAGGAAUACCGGUGGCGAAGGCGGCCCCUUGGACAAAGACUGACGCUCAGGUGCGAAAGCGUGGGGAGCAAACA